UCGGAUAUGGUGUAACGGCUAACAUUGCCGCCUCUCAUGAGUUCUUUAUUGUGGUCUGCGCGGCAGCUCGGGGUUCGAUUCCCCGUAUCCGAA
rnacentral:tRNA from 1 species